AUUAAGCCAUGCAUGUGUAAGUAUGAAUUAAUUCAGACCGUGAAACUAUGAAUGACUCAUUAAAUCCGUUAUAGUUUGUUUGAUGGUACCUGCUACUCGGAUAACCGUAGUAUUUCUAGAUCUAAUACGUGCAACAAAACUCGAUUUCUCGAAGGGAUGUAUUUAUUAGAUAAAAGGUCGAUGCGGGCUCCGCCUGUUACUGCGAUGAUUCAUGAUAACUCAAUGGAUUGCAUGGCCCUCGUGCCGGAGACGCAUCAUUCAAAUUUUCACCCUAUCAACUUUCAAUGGUGGGAUAGCAGCCUACUAUGGUAGUGAUGGGUGACGGAGAAUUAGGGUUUGAUUUUGGCGAGGGAGCCUGAAAAAUGGCUAUCACAUCCAAGGAAGGCAGCAGGUGU
rnacentral:rRNA from 1 species